rnacentral:tmRNA from 1 species
GGGGAUGAUCGGCCUUGCCAUUGAUAUGUUAGUUUAUUCGUGCGUCCCGAGGGUGCUGGUCGCCUCGUAAAUCACACCGGCAAAACUUAAGUGCAAAAAACAGCACUGGUGCGGUGGUUUCACCGUACUCUCCAGCUUUCGCUUUAGCGUAAUAAGCUGGUGUCGGACGAGCUUUUUCCUAACUGGCUCGCUCCCGGCAUAAUAACCGUUGGGAUAGGCAACUGGACUUGUUUCGCCCAGACGCCGAAACUUAGAAACUUUAACGCUUUGGGAUUUUGCUCGUUUUAUACCUAAAGCGUCGAGAACUUAAAACCAGCUACGGAUGUAGACUCGCUUAAACCAUAUCUCUGCACGGGGGUUCGAUUCCCCCCAUCUCCACAA